GUCACUCUGAACUAAACCUCUAGAUUGUAGCUCUAGAUUGAAUUGCUAAAAUCCGCUUGAAUGUCCAAAUGUCUUCUGGCUGGGUUAGCUUACAUUUGCUGUCUAGAUAAUUCUCAUGCACUUGUUGGUCGACUAAUCACCUUAGAAGGCCACCAGUACAGGAUAGAUGGCCGCCAGCACGUCUGCCAGGCCGCAGGGGAAUGUGGAGAGGAUGAACACACAUGUUGUUAUGAUCAAUCCACCCAAAUCUUGGACCUCACUCUAACCAAUCUUCUAGACCCUCUCGAUGUUAUUUCCCUUGCCCACGUUAUCAAAGCAGGAGGAGAUAACUGCAGUUUAUAUUCUGACGCCAUAGAUUUUUCAACUGAUGAGCUUCUGGUUGGUGGCAAAGCAGAGAGCUUUGUUGAAAACUAUUUAUCCCCUCAUCUAGUGGGCACUGAUUGUUUAGUCUGUAUUGGCCAAAUGAGCGUCAAGAUCAAAGCUGAUGCACAAUCUACCGAAAUUUGACUCCGUUUAAACACACAUAUACUAUACACACUGUUGUAUCAUUUAGUAAGAAUAAAAAUAAUAUAUUUGUAU